GACGAACGCUGGCGGCGUGCCUAAUACAUGCAAGUCGAGCGAAGUUUUUCUGGUGCUUGCACUAGAAAGACUUAGCGGCGAACGGGUGAGUAACACGUAAAGAACCUGCCUCAUAGACUGGGACAACUAUUGGAAACGAUAGCUAAUACCGGAUAACAGUAUUUCUCGCAUGAGAGAUAUUUAAAAGUUGGUUAUGCUAACACUAUGAGAUGGCUUUGCGGUGCAUUAGCUAGUUGGUGGGGUAAAGGCCCACCAAGGCGACGAUGCAUAGCCGACCUGAGAGAGUGAUCGGCCACGCUGGGACUGAGACACGGCCCAGACUCCUACGGGAGGCAGCAGUAGGGAAUCUUCCGCAAUGGGCGAAAGCCUGACGGAGCAACGCCGCGUGAGUGAAGAAGGAUUUCGGUUCGUAAAGCUCUGUUGUUAGGGAAGAAUGGAUAUGUAGUAACUAUACAUGUAAGAGACGGUACCUAACCAGAAAGCCACGGCUAACUACGUG
rnacentral:rRNA from 1 species